AUGGAGGCGGCCGCGGCACUCGAGAAGAGGGAGCGGCUAGUGAUUGGGCCAAGGUCUGGGUCCUCCCGUCGUCGCACACGGUCGCUGAGGAGAGUCGACGGCUAUGGAGGACGUCGAGUGGCGGUGGCAGCCGCUCCCGCUUCUGCUCCGAGUGUAUCAAUGGCGUCGUCCGCCGUCGACCCCUCCAUUUGGGGCUUGCUCGAGGUACAAGAUGCAUCCAUCCAUCUCAUCGCUGCGAUUUUUGUUGAAGCCACAAGUCUGAUUGAUCAAUCCAUUCCACCAAUGUUGUUUCAGUAUUUGCCAUGCUUUUGUAUCAAUUGUGUUUUUGCACUGCCAUUCAGUACAAGUAGCAGGACAGAGUGCCAAGCAUAUCAGACAUUUAUAAAUGCUGCUAAUCCACAUGGUCUGAUGUUGCUUUCAUGUUGA
rnacentral:rRNA from 1 species